CCCAACUCACGCCCUGACCCAACUAAAACAAAGACAUAACAAAGGAACUAAGGUCAGAACGUGACAGUCAUUGUCUAUUUUUAGAGAAAACUGAUGUGGAAAACUCAGCCAGAAGCUAGCAAGUGUCAAGUGAAUCGACAACAUCACCACAAACGUCUUUUCAAGCCAGAGAGUGGAGAGGAAGGAGAGGACAAAGACUGGAUAGGAAGAAGAGUGAAAGAGAAAGAGGAGGAAAGAUUGGAGAAGGAAAGAUUAAGGGAGUAAAAAGAGUGACGCGAGGAGAGUGUGGAAGAGUGAGGUGGAAAGGUAAAGAGAAGGAAAGGAAAAAAGAGCAGGAAGAGGAGUGAAGAAAAGAGGAGGAGAAAGAUUGGAGGAGAAGAAAAAGUUAAGAGAGUAAGAAGAGUGACACAAGGAGAGUGAAGAAGAGCAGACAGAGGAGGUACAAUGGCUCAUUCCAAGAAACUGAAAUGCCAUUUUAAUGACAACAUGAGAUGUAUGCACACAUGACUGUAAGUCGCUUUGGAUAAAAGCGUCUGCUAAAUGGCAUAUAUUAUUUAUUAUUAUUAUUAGAAAAUGUCCAUUUAAACGCUCAGGUCAAGACGAUAGAAUGGUUAACUGCACCCUUUUUAAUUCCUCUUUUUCAAUUGGCAGUGGGGGAAGAACGGCAGUGGUAGAACAUCAACAGACAAAAAAAGCAUAAAGCCUCUCUGAUUGCCCGUGUUGGUUUGCCCUCUGUCACCACAUUCUUCAAGAAGGUAGAGCCUUCCCAAGAAGAAUAUGAUUUAGCUGUGCAGGUGGGUGUCUUUGCAUACCACACUAUGCAACACAAUCAUAGUUACAGAUCUCUGGGCUGCACAGCACAACUGACACGGAAGCUUUAUGAGCUGAAGUUUACAUGUGCUAGGACAAAAUGUGAAGCCAUACGUGUUUACACCAUGGCUAACUACUUUGGUAACACAGGACCUAGACCAGGUUGAAUUUGUGUCCCUGUCCAUUGAUGCGUCCAAUCAUGGACAUGUAAAGCUGCUGCCAAUACUAGUCAGAUAUUGUAAGAUAUAUGAUGGCAACACAUUUUGUUGAAUUGAAAGGAGAAAUAGCAGAGGAAAUUGCUGCUGAGGUCCUGGUGUUCAUCCAAAAAUGUAACCUGGAAAACAAAGUCGUGGCAUUCUCUGCCGACAACACAAAUACCAACUUUGGAGGACUGAAUAGGCUGGGGAGGGUCAAUGUCCAUACCAAAGUUAAAAAUGCUCUGAAGUGGGAUGUGAUUAGAUUAGGUUGUCCUGCCCGCAUCAUUCAUAACACGCCCAGAACAGCUUUGGAUAUGAUUGCCCUUGAUGAUGAGUACCUGCUCAAAAAGAUAUUUGGAUAUUUUCACCGUUGUAGAAAGACUGAAGAGCUUUUUUUAGGACACAGAAAUGUUCGCUGGCUGUCCAUGUUCCCGGCUCUAGAAAGAGUGCUGAAAAUGUAUGUGCCAUUGAAAUCCUUUUUUCUUUCUGAAGAUAAAUGCCCUGUUGUCCUGCGAACAAUGUUCGAAGAUCCACCGACUGAAUUUUGGCCUUUGUCCAUGGAAACCUGACCGUAUUCAGUGACACAAUCAAGAUGCUUGAAGGCCAGGACCGCUGGGCUGUGGAGUCAGAUGCAAUUCUGAGAAACAUUAAGGCAAAAUUGACUGCAAGACGUGAUGACAACUUCAUUCCAGUUUUGGUCAGAUGACUUCUGAGAGAGCUAGAGGAAACUGGAGCAAUGUCUAAAGAGAGCUUUCUCAAAACAUCCCAAUCAUUCUUCACUACGGCUGUGAACUACUUGCAAGCAUGGGAAAAGCACACAGAUAAUCUAAAAGAUUGACAUUGUCUCCUUUUAAAAAGGCAACCUCUGCGAGAAGAGAUCCAGAAGGCAGCAGGCACACUGCAGGAAAAAUGCCCCAAUGUGACCAUCAAUGAGGAUGCAUUGUUUGACGAGGUUACUGGCCAGCAAAAGUUCCUAAAGGGAGGAUUGCUUGAAGAAUGGAAAACAUCUGAGACAUAGCUUAGUCAGAGAUGGAGCACAGUGGUUACCCACUUCAAAGCGAACAACAUCCCACACACUAACCUGGCUAGAUUAGCGUCUGUUGUCAUGUGCUUACCUGGAAGUUGUACACCAGUUGAGAGAGUGUUCUCCCAAAUGAAUGAUCUAUGGACAGCAGCAAGAAAUAUGUUCACUGUUCCUACCAUCAAGGCCAUGCUUAUUGUGAAUAUAAACUUCAACCUCCUCUGCCAGGAGUUCAUGGAGAAGCUGGCCAAAGACAUAGCAAUCCUGAAGAAGAUACAUUCUGCUGAGAAAUAUUCAGAUUAGGUUGGUAUAAGUAUAUUAUGUAGUUACCAAUCUCGUUUUAUUUCUUUAUUUUGUUAAGUAUUUCACAUAUACUAUUGUCUGUUUUUUUUCUUCUUCAAUUUUGCUAAUGUUCUCUUCUGUUCUUAUUCUACCCAGACUACCAGGACCACUGAAUGGCUGUUCAGAUUGGACAGUUCUGUCUUGUCUGUAAUGUUUCUGUAAUAAAGUUGUUUUUUUCUA